UGUGGCGGAGAGUCUGGGAGGAGGUGGAGCGGCUGGCGGAGGAAAGGCACGCAGCGCCGCGGUGCUGUGCUGCGGCCCAGUCGGGACUGCAGGACCCACCGGACUCGCCGUCCGUGGGCUCCUGCGUGAGGCCCUGCAGUCCCGCUCCUGCUGCCUGCUGCCCCUUCCCGCCCCAAGGCUUCUCCGAACCACCCUCUGCGCACAGGGCCACUUCUUACUCCUUUGUGUGUUCUCCACAAAGUCCAGGAUGAUGCCUUACAUAAAGAGAGAGAGAGAGAGAGAGAGAAGAAGAAGAAGCACACAAGCAGGGGGAAUCACGUGCAAAGGGAGAGGAAGAAGCAAGCUCCUUGGGGUGCAAGUAGUCCCAUGCAGGGCUGGAUCCCUGUACACUGGAAUCAUGACCUCAGCCAAAGGCAAACAUCUGCUUAAACAACUGAGUCUUCCAGGCACCCCUAGAAAAUUAAAAAAAAAAAAAGACCUUUUAAAAACA